CCUACGGGAGGCAGCAGUGAGGAAUAUUGGUCAAUGGACGAGAGUCUGAACCAGCCAAGUAGCGUGAAGGAUGACUGCCCUAUGGGUUGUAAACUUCUUUUAUAUGGGAAUAAAACGUUCCACGUGUGGGAUUUUGUAUGUACCAUAUGAAUAAGGAUCGGCUAACUCCGUGCCAGCAGCCGCGGUAAUACGGAGGAUCCGAGCGUUAUCCGGAUUUAUUGGGUUUAAAGGGAGCGUAGGUGGAUUGUUAAGUCAGUUGUGAAAGUUUGCGGCUCAACCGUAAAAUUGCAGUUGAAACUGGCAGUCUUGAGUACAGUAGAGGGGGGCGGAAUUCGUGGUGUAGCGGUGAAAUGCUUAGAUAUCACGAAGAACUCCGAUUGCGAAGGCAGUUCACUGGACUGCAACUGACACUGAGGCUCGAAAGUGUGGGUAUCAAACAGGAUUAGAUACCCCAGUAGUC
rnacentral:rRNA from 1 species